GCCGCCGUAGCUCAGUUAGGUAGAGCAACUGGCUGUUAACCAGUAGGUCGACGGUUCGAGUCCGUCCGGCGGCGCCA
rnacentral:tRNA from 1 species